GCAAACUUGGUCAUUUAGAGGAAGUAAAAGUCGUAACAAGGUAUCCGUAGGUGAACCUGCGGAUGGAUCAUUCCCAUGUUGUCCAUUGGACACAACUGUCAUGUGCAAUGUUGCUGUGUGUAUGUAUAUGCAUGCAUGAUUGUACUGUGGUGUCAUUGCCAUUGUACAUCAUCAUCAUCAUAUCAUCCUUUUUAUUUACUCUUGUAUUCUACUAUAUCUCUGAACACAAUCAUUAAAACCGAAAAACUGCCAGCAAUGGAUCCCUCGGUUCUCGCAUCGAUGAAGAACGCAGC
rnacentral:misc_RNA from 1 species